UGUGUGUGGAUCRUUUUACAUAGCUUUGUAUUUUUCAUGCAGGGAUUUCCUGUGUGUACGGACUCCACYGCCUGCUCUGCCAGGGGGAUCAUUUGACCUCCCGUGUCCCUGAAGAUUCAGAGGCUGAGUAAUUGGAGCAGAGGGAGAUGAGAAAUACCUCAUGCAUGCAGCUGAUCUGCUGUGUGCUACUAGGUAUGGGACAGCUGGCUGCUCUGUAAGUUCAUCCAUACACCCUAUUGAGAGACGCUUCUGCCUUCUCUGAGAGAAGAUUUCAUCCAAAGAUCAUCAGCAGCAGCCACCAUCAGAGACAGCAGAAGGAAGCUGAGUAGGUCCCAGUUGCCUUUGUGUUGACAGCACGGUCUGCUCUAUUGCCCUUGAUCUCUACUGUGUGGCAUUGAUGUGGAGUCUUCUCAGAGUCUACACCUAUGUGGAGUUUGAGUCAAAAUCAGAUUCACUUUCUGUUAAAACUGAAGAUUUGAAGAAUUACACUGUAUCAGAGUUGGG
rnacentral:lncRNA from 1 species